rnacentral:rRNA from 1 species
GACGAACGCUGGCGGCGUGCCUAAUACAUGCAAGUUGAGCGCUGAAGGUUGGUACUUGUACCACCUGGAUGAGCAGCGUACGGGUGAGUUACGUGUGGUGACUCUGCCUUUGAGCUGGGGACAACAUUUUGAAACGAAUGCUAAUACCGCAUAAUAACUUUAAACACAAGUUUUAAGUUUUAAAGAUGCAAUUGCAUCACUCACAGAUGAUCCCGCGUUGUAUUAGCUAGUUGGUGAGGUAAAGGCUCACCAAGGCGAUGAUAGAUAGCCGACCUGAGAGGGUGAUAGGCCACAUUGGGACUGAGACACGGACAAAAGGCCUACGGGAGGCAGCAGUAGGGAAUGGUAGGCAGUGGAGGAAGGUAUGACAGAGCAACGCCGCGUGAGUGAAGAAGGUUCUCGGAUCGGAAAACUCUGUUGGUAGAGAAGAACGGUGGUGAGAGGGGAAAGCGCAUGAAGUGACGGUAACUACCCAGAAAGGGACGGCUAACUACGUG